CCUACGGGGUGCAGCAGUGGGGAAUAUUGGACAAUGGGCGAAAGCCUGAUCCAGCCAUGCCGCGUGUGUGAAGAAGGCCUUCGGGUUGUAAAGCACUUUCAGUGGGGAAGAAAGCCUUGGGGCUAAUACCCUCGAGGAAGGACAUCACCCACAGAAGAAGCACCGGCUAACUCCGUGCCAGCAGCCGCGGUAAUACGGAGGGUGCGAGCGUUAAUCGGAAUUACUGGGCGUAAAGCGCGCGUAGGCGGUCUGAUAAGCCGGUUGUGAAAGCCCCGGGCUCAACCUGGGAACGGCAUCCGGAACUGUCAGGCUAGAGUGCAGGAGAGGAAGGUAGAAUUCCCGGUGUAGCGGUGAAAUGCGUAGAGAUCGGGAGGAAUGCCAGUGGCGAAGGCGGCCUUCUGGACUGACACUGACGCUGAGGUGCGAAAGCGUGGGUAGCAAACAGGAUUAGAUACCCUUGUAUC
rnacentral:rRNA from 1 species